GACGAACGCUGGCGGCAUGCCUAACACAUGCAAGUCGAACGAAGGCUUCGGCCUUAGUGGCGCACGGGUGAGUAACGCGUGGGAAACUGCCUAUUGGUGGGGAAUAACGACGGGAAACUGUCGCUAAUACCGCAUAAGCCCUUCGGGGGAAAGAUUUAUCGCCGAUAGAUGUGCCCGCGUCCGAUUAGCUAGUUGGUGAGGUAAUGGCUCACCAAGGCGACGAUCGGUAGCUGGUCUGAGAGGAUGAUCAGCCACACUGGGACUGAGACACGGCCCAGACUCCGAGGGGAGGCAGGAGUGCGGAAUAUUGGACAAUGGGCGACAGCGUGAUCCAGCAAUGCCGCGAGAGUGAUGAAGGCCUUAGGGUUGUAAAGCUCUUUCGGGUGGGACGAUGAUGACGGUACCACCAGAGGAAGCCCCGGCUAACUUCGUGCCAGCAGCCGCCGUAA
rnacentral:rRNA from 1 species